CCGUCCAGCUUUCUUUUGGAGAUAAUUCUGGGGUUUGGGCUAGGUGAGGAUUUGGGGUUGGUUUAAAAUGUUUUUUAUUUUAUUUUUUAAAUCUCAUUGGUGCAAUUUUCACAUGUAUGUGGUAUAUUUCCACAACUCUUAAUACGAAAUUCGAAACAGAUCAUCAAAAAGCCCGUUUCAAAACUAAGCACAUUUUCAAUUGACUAAGUACAACAGUCACUUUAUUUUUACACCAAAUUUAAUCUGUUUCAUCUAGAAAUGCAUGUUUCACAUUGCAAUACAUGUUCAUAUACAGUCAUUGCUUUUCUCAAUGCUCACAUUACUUUAGGUAUGAUUCUCUUUUAAGAGGUUUUCCUAUUACAUAAUCCAACUGCUCUUUAUCAGGGAUCACUUAAACCCAUGGAACGUUUGAUUAAACCCAUGGAACGUUUGAUUAAACCUACGGAACGUUUGAUUAAACCUACGGAACGUUUGAUUAAACCUACGGAACGUUUGAUUAAACCUACGGAACGUUUGAUUAAACCUACGGAACGUUUGAUUAAACCCAUGGAACGUUUGAUUAAACCAUGGAACGUUUGAUUAAACCCAUGGAACGUUUGAUUAAACCCAUGGAACGUUUGAUUAAACCAUGGAACGUUUGAUUAAACCAAUGGAACGUUUGAUUAAACCUACGGAACGUUUGAUUAAACCUACGGAACGUUUGGUAAAUGGAUCGAUUUUACAUUUUGUCUACUACAGAUUUUGAGAACUAAAUAAUGACAAUGGAUGUCUGUAGAAACGUAAGUAACUAUGUAUUAUUAUUAUGAUUUUACUUCACAGUAAGUAAAACAAAUCUGAUAUUGACAAAGUCAGACGUACUAUAUGUUACAAAUUAAAAAGUUUAUUGGUCGCGUACACAGAUUAGCGGAUGUCACAGCAGGCGCAGCGAAAUGCUUGUGUUUCUAGCUCCUGCGUUGCAGUAAUACAAUGCCAAUACGCAAAUAAUCCAGAAAGUCCUUAACAAUAAAUAAAUGCUUCACUAAAAUAGCAUUGGGUAGUACGGUCCAUUUACACAGCAAACACUUUUACCAAAAGCGACAACAGUCCACUUUUUGGUACGUGAUCCCAGUAGGAAUGGAACCCACACCUCUGGUGUUGCUAGUGCCAUGCUCUUAUGAACUAUAGUGACGGCAGUGGUUAGAGCAUUGGACUAGUAACCAGAAGGUUGCAAGUUCAAACCCCCGAGCUGACAAGGUACAAAUCUGUCGUUCUGCCCCUGAACAGGUAGUUAACCCACUGUUGCCAUUGAAAAUAAGAAUUUGUUCUUAACUGACUUGCCUAGUUAAAUAAAGGUAAAAAAACAGACACGUACAGAACCACUACAAUACAUUAAGUACACCUGAGUACAAUACAUUAAGUACACCUGUACACGUGGAAGACACUUCCACCCCCACGAGCGAACCACCACCCUCUAGGCCAUGGAUGACUCAUGCAAUGACGUCAAUCCAGACCUAUAUCAGGCCUGGUGCAUGAACAAUUAGGAUAUUUACUGUGAUUUCGAUGAGAACCUACGGACAAAUGUUCCAGACAGGUUUGAUGCAAUCUAACGCCUUAAACUUUUCUUUCCUUUGAUUACCUUAUGAAAGAUUACCAGAGCCCCCAUGUCUAUCCCAUGUCUUCAAUGAUCAGACAUGGGAUAGAAGUUAUUGACAUUUCAAGUCCAGUUCAUUUUAAUGGGUAGUGCAAGUGUAUUGCCGAAUGUGAAACAGUGUCAUGUACUGUAAUUUACACUACUGGAGCAUACUACAUUCAAAGAGCAAAUUGAAACGUAUCUUAAACGUGUUUUUGGAUUAAUUGGUUAAAAUAACUAAAUUAAGGAGAUGUCAUUAGGUUGUGUUUUGGUGAUUAAACCAAUGUUCUUAUUUCACAGUAAACUUAUAUUUUGAAUUAAUGGUUGUGUAGUGAACGAUGUCUACAAACCAAAUACAUUAAUAUUGAAAGGAUUUGAAUAUAAGACUGGCUGCAUUACAAGUGUUACCAGUUUGGGGUUCUGUACAUAUUUGUGAAAAUAGCACCAAAUCGUUUAAAAAAAAAACGAAAACCAUGUGGGAUACAUACAUUUUUAACAGUGAACAUUUGCAAUGUUUUCAAUCAAUGAUUUCUAUAUUGAUUGAUAUCAAUUUGUAAAGGUUUGUGUUUGGGCUUUUAUUCAAUAAAAUAUUGGAUGGAUGUACAAAA
ensembl:lncRNA